rnacentral:rRNA from 1 species
GACGAACGCUGGCGGCGUGCUUAACACAUGCAAGUCGAGCGGUAAGGCCCUUUCGGGGGUACACGAGCGGCGAACGGGUGAGUAACACGUGGGUGACCUGCCCUCAGCUCUGGGAUAAGCCUGGGAAACUGGGUCUAAUACCGGAUAUGACUCCAUGACGCAUGUUGUGGGGUGGAAAGCCUUGUGCGGCUGAGGAUGGGCCCGCGGCCUAUCAGCUUGUUGGUGGGGUGANGGCCUACCAAGGCGACGACGGGUAGCCGGCCUGAGAGGGCGACCGGCCACACUGGGACUGAGACACGGCCCAGACUCCUACGGGAGGCAGCAGUGGGGAAGUCUUGCGCAAUGGGCGAAAGCCUGACGCAGCGACGCCGCGUGAGGGAUGACGGCC